UUCAUUAUUUUUAAGGUUACUUCCUUGUUCGUUAUAGCCUUCAUUUAUUAUAUUAAAGGUUACUCCCUUGUUCGUUAUAGCCUUCAUCUUAUUAUAUUAAAGGUUACUCCCUUGUUCGUUAUAGCCUUCAUCUUAUUAUAUUAAAGGUUACUCCCUUGUUCGUUAUAGCCUUCAUCUUAUUAUAUUAAAGGUUACUCCCUUGUUCGUUAUAGCCUUCAUAUUAUUAUAUUAAAUGUUACUCCAUUGUUCGUUAUAGCCUUCAUCUUAUUAUAUUAAAGGUUACUCCCUUGUUCGUUAUAGCCUUCAUCUUAUUAUAUUAAAGGUUACUCCCUUGUUCGUUAUAGCCUUCAUCUUAUUAUAUUAAAGGUUACUCCCUUGUUCGUUAUAGCCUUCAUCUUAUUAUAUUAAAGGUUACUCCCUUGUUCGUUAUAGCCUUCAUCUUAUUAUAUUAAAGGUUACUCCCUUGUUCGUUAUAGCCUUCAUCUUAUUAUAUUAAAGGUUACUCCCUUGUUCGUUAUAGCCUUCAUCUUAUUAUAUUAAAGGUUACUCCCUUGUUCGUUAUAGCCUUCAUCUUAUUAUAUUAAAGGUUACUCCCUUGUUCGUUAUAGCCUUCAUCUUAUUAUAUUA